rnacentral:rRNA from 1 species
UACGUAGGGGGCAAGCGUUGUCCGGAAUCAUUGGGCGUAAAGCGCGCAUAGGCGGCCCGGUAAGUCCGCUCUGAAAGUCCAGGGCUCAACCCUGGAAAGCGGGUGGAUACUGCCGGGCUAGAAUCCGGAAGAGGAGAAUGGAAUUCCUGGUGUAGCGGUGAAAUGCGCAGAUAUCAGGAAGAACACCCGUGGCUAAGGCGGUUCUCUAGUACGGUACUGACGCUGAGACGCGAAAGCGUGGGGAGCGAACAGG